rnacentral:rRNA from 1 species
AACGAACGCUGGCGGCAUGCCUAACACAUGCAAGUCGAACGAGACCUUCGGGUCUAGUGGCGCACGGGUGCGUAACGCGUGGGAACCUGCCCUUAGGUUCGGAAUAACUCCCCGAAAGGGGUGCUAAUACCGGAUAAUGUCUUCGGACCAAAGAUUUAUCGCCUUUGGAUGGGCCCGCGUUGGAUUAGCUAGUUGGUAGGGUAAAAGCCUACCAAGGCGACGAUCCAUAGCUGGUCUGAGAGGAUGAUCAGCCACACUGGGACUGAGACACGGCCCAGACUCCUACGGGAGGCAGCAGUGGGGAAUAUUGGACAAUUGGAGGAAGCCUGAUCCAGCAAUGCCGCGUGAGUGAUGAAGGCCUUAGGGUUGUAAAGCUCUUUUAACUGGGAUGAUAAUGACAGUACCGGGAGAAUAAGCUACGGCUAACUCCGUG